rnacentral:sRNA from 1 species
GGGUCUGUGUGCCCCUCCGCACUGGCUACUGUCUUCCUCGGGCGCCCGUCGGCUUUUGCGUCCCCACAUUCAAUCCCAACUGCGGCUCCCGCGGUUCCCGCACUGGCCGCAGAGGAGCCACGGGGCACAGCUGGCUGUGUUUAGGGCCCUGCACAGUCCCACAGCCAGUCGCUCCCCCCACAGUUCCGAAAGGAUAUGGCCCCCCAGAGGAAGGACCGGCAUAGACUGUCAUUCUCCGUUCUUCGAGCACAGAACCGCGACAAGCUGUUCAAAGUCUCUGUCCCCCACGUCCUGGAGAUGCGGAAGCGGGAGCUGAAGCCCAGGUGGGUCCAGGAGGGGCUGCCCCACCUGCUUCCCUCCAGGCCCCUCUGGUGGGACCCACUGUGGCCCCUGUGGAGAGUCCCCUCCCUACAGAUUGCCCGGAAUGACCCAUGUGGCUGGAAGGACUGAUGCCUUCAGACACAGCUGGAUCCAGGUGCUGCCUUCCUGGGACCUACCCACCCCAUUUCCCCAGGCCUGACACCCCUGCACACAGCCUCAAUCCACGGGUGGGGAGCAAAGCCACCACCCCCCACCCAGCCCCCCGGGUGCAGAAUGAGCCCUGGGAAAGCUCUGAUGGGUGCCUGUGGCCCCGGGAAGGAACAUGGCUCUCUAGCCAGGGGCCAAAGGCACCUGCCCCAACCCCUAGCCUCCAGCCACCAGCUGACGAGGACCUAAAGUGAGUGAUGAGACCCCCACAGGAGCCAGAGAAGGGUGGAAAAGCCAGUUUGUCAGACACAACUGGGACAGCCACAGCCUGGGACCCUGGGACCCUGGGACCCUGAGGCAGAGCUGCAGGGGUCCGGCCCGGGCCGAUGGUGGAUGGGGGCAAGGCGGGAGCGCAAGCCUCUGACUUCCUUCUAGUUCCGACGAGUACCAGGCCGCCCGAGCCACCCUGCUCAGAGCGUUCCAGGCGAAGUUUGACACAUUUGUAGUUCCCUGUGUUGUUGCCAGUGGCGACAUCAAAGACAGGAAGGGGUCAGAACCCCUGAGCUUCAGGUGCGGGGUGCUCUGGCCAGAACGGGGUGUGAUCAGCCGCAAACGCGCUGUCCCUCUGCUACUGCCCAACUCUGGGGCCUGGGCGGGCAGGGGGCCGCCCACCCUGCCCUCAGCAUGCCCUUCCUAUCCCAGCCCCCACAACACCCUGUACCUGGAGCUGUGGUGCCCGACGGUGGCACCAUCUGUUGUGGUGACGUCCCAUAAAGGCAAGACCAUCUUUAACUUCGGCGACGUCGCUGUCGGGCACCGCAGUAUCAAGAAGAUCUCCAUCCAGAACGUCUCUCCCGAGGAUCUGGCCCUGGACUUCUCCCUGCUGAACCCCAACGGCCCCUUUGUCCUGCUGAACCACUCCAGCCUGCUGCGUGCGGGUGGGACCCAGGUCCUGGUGCUUUCCUUCUCUCCCCACGAGAGCAUCCUGGCUCAAGAAACACUGGACAUCAUCACCAAGAGAGGCACGCUCACCCUCACCCUCCUGGGCACUGGCGUGGCAUCCAUGAUCACGUGCUCCAUUGAAGGCAGCGUCCUCAACAUGGGCUAUGUGAUUGCCGGAGAGUCUGUGUCCUCAGGCUUCAAGCUGCAGAACAACUCUCUGCUCCCCAUCAAGUUCUCCAUGCACCUGGACAGCCUCUCCAGCACCCGGGGCCGGGGCCAGCAGCAGCUGCCGCAGUUUCUCAGCUCGCCCUCCCAGAGGACGGAGGUGGUCGGGACGCAGAAUCUCAACGGUCAGAGCGUGUUCGGCGUGGCCCCCGUCAAGGGCGUCAUGGACCCCGGGAAGGCACAAGACUUCACUGUCACCUUCAGCCCCGACCAUGAGAGCCUCUACUUCUCCGACAGGCUCCAGGUGGUGCUCUUUGAAAAGAAAAUCUCCCACCAGAUCCUGCUGAAGGGUGCCGCCUGUCAGCACAUGAUGUUCGUGGAGGGCGGCGACCCCCUGGACGUGCCCGUGGAGUCUCUGACAGCGAUCCCUGUAUUUGACCCCAGGCACAGAGAGGCCAGCUCCCGGCCAGGCCCUCUCUCUCCAGAAGCUGAGGAGCUGAGGCCCAUCCUGGUGACCCUGGACUACAUCCAGUUUGACACAGACACGCCAGCCCCACCUGCCACCCGAGAGCUGCAGGUGGGCUGUAUCCGGACCACCCAGCCAUCUCCAAAGAAGACCGUUGAGUUCAGCAUAGACAGCGUCGCAUCCCUGCAGCACAAGGGUUUCUCCAUUGAGCCCUCCAGGGGCUCCGUGGAGCGCGGCCAGACGAAGACCAUCAGCAUCUCCUGGGUGCCACCUGCGGACUUUGAUCCAGACCACCCACUCAUGGUGUCGGCCCUGCUGCAGCUAAGGGGGGAUGUGAAGGAGACCUACAAGGUCAUCUUUGUAGCCCAGGUGUUGACCGGCCCCUAAGCCUCUGCAUAGAGCACCCUCGGGCCCUCCUGCCCACGCUCAAAGCCCUCCCCAGGCUGAGGGCCAGGUCAUACUACCCUAGAGCCUGGGACCUGGCCAUCCUCUGCCAGGCAGAUUCCAAUAGGCCGCCCUCCACAUGGCGCCACGGCCACUUCCUGCUGCCCUGGACCCCGCAAGCCCAGGGACAUCCAAGAGCACCCCUCCUGAGACCCCAGACUCAGAAGCAGCGAGAAGGCCAGGCCAGCCCGCAGCCAUCCUAGCCAGACCCCCUCAGAGCCCCCAGCCCCCAGGAGAGCCCUCCACAGCCUGUCAAUAAAUUUUUUGUAGGCCAACA